AUUGUUUGGCGAGCCCCGUGAAAUGGUCGUUCGACCCUAAAUGGGGUCCUGACCCAGAGGUUGAGAACCACUGCUCUACUGCAUUUUUUUAAAAAAAAUUCAACUGACCCAGAUGUGUUUGCAUAACACAGAAGCUAAAAACAACCCACCUCAGUUUACCAUAUUAGCCUAUAAUUCCCUCUUUUCAAGUUCAUCCAAAUGAUUACACAUGUUUGGGAGUUUUUGUGUCAUCUAAACUAAAACUGUCAUCAUUUUGGGAUUUUGGAAACCAAAACUUGUAAAUUAUUAUAAACUUUGGGUAAAAACCUUAGGAAGCCCCAAAAGGCUUAUUGGAUUCUAUGGUAAGCCAUAAAUCUGAUUAAUGAAGCCUGUUUGUAGUGGAUAAAAUUGUGACAUAUGCACUAGAACUAGUGUGUUAUGUGAACAUAGGAAUAUUGCUCAGGUUAAGCAAAUGUAAGCUGCAGACUGUUCUUUAGCUUCAGAGAACAAAAGCUAAGAUAGCCGAUUUACAAAUAGAAAAGAAAUAUAAUAAAGUAACUUCUAAUAUAGCCAAUGUGGUCAGAGGUUAAGGUGGACUAGGGGAGACCCAGAUUCUAGUCUACUCUCCACUAUAGAAAUCCACUAGGCAAGUUUGGGAUAACUGGUCUCUUUCAGCCCAACCUCUGGAGCAAAUGGGAGGAGGGACAACUACAUAUGCCACUUUAAGCUUCUGUAUAAAAUGUGAUAUGUAGUUAUUGAAGGACCUGCUGAAAAGUGAAACACCAAAAAGGGAUCAGAAUUUUUUCAUAAAUUGGCAGGCUAUUAGGAGGAAGACAGGGAAGAAAGGUGAGAAUCACAGUUGGGCAUGAACUGCUUGACAGUUAUUCAUAAAAGUAAAGAAGCAGAAACAAAGUAAUGAUGAAAUGUAGAAAUGAAUGAGUGAGUUUCUUGCUGGGAGUCUUCUUUACACUACCUUUUAAGAUAUGAUGAUUGAGUAUAGCAUAUUUGGGCUGCAAAAUUUGGACAGCCAUUGGCUGGUAGUAAAGACUUAAAGCAUUCUGUGGCAUGGCUGCUGUCUCAUGGUCAUCCAAGUUUUUGCAACCCAGCUAUAUUAUGUUUGAAACGGUCCUAUGAAUGUAGGGUGCAAAAUUUUAUAAAACGCAACAAUAAUGGAAGCAAAACAUUUAUAAUGGUAUGUGCAAAUGACCUUGGGAGAUUGGGCAGGAGAUGGGGGAAUGAGGUGCUGUCUAGAGAAUAAUCAGAUAAGAGAGGGAAUAGCCUGCAGAUGUAUAAUGGGGAGAGAAAGAAGCUCAGAAAUAAACUUCUCCAACUAAUCAGGCUGUAAAAGAGAUGGUGGGAGAUUUUACUAUCAGACAUGGAAGACUGUGUUCAUGUAGCCUUACAAUAAAAUAGAAUUAGCUCAUAUGAUCAUUUUUUUCUUCUCUGUUCCACCUAGGAAUGCUGGUAACAAUAAUAAUAAUAAUAAAGCAAUAAAGCAGUUAGAAUGACUACCAAUAAACCAAUAAAAGAUACACUUGAAGGCAGGAGCAAUCUUGGAUGAUUUUCUGGAAAGAUGGGGGGGGGGGGAAGAUUUAUGACAGAAUCUCAGAAUAUAAGGGUUGAAGGUAUCCUGGAGAUCAUCUGGUCCAACCUCCUUUCCAGUGCAGGUACUGAAGCAUCCCUGACAGAUGGCCAUUUAGUCUUUGUUUAAAUACUUCCAGGAAAGUCCACCACUUCCUGGGGCAGUAUGUUACAUUAUUGAACAAUUCUAACUUUUAAGACACUUGUUUUUGUACAACCAAAAUCUACUUCCUUAUAAUUUAAAUCCACUGUUUCUUUUCCUGUCUUCCUGUCUUCUGUUCCUUUCAGGCAUUUGAAGAUAAUAAUUAUAUUCCAUAUAGUUGUUUAUUCUUUAGGCUAAAUAAAUCAAUACCUCUAAUAGUCCUCUAAUAUUCCUUCUAAGCCACUUAUCAUUUUGGUUCUUCUCUUUUGGACAAAUUUCAGCUUGUGUUCCUUAUUCGAGAUCUCUACACCUGUAUCCUUGUCUGAUUUCUAGUAUUUAGGCUAUUUUAUAGCAUCUUUUCUACCUUUUCCACAGGAUUCAAUUUAAAGUCCUAUAAAUCAGAUUGGCCAGGCCCCUCUCAAAUAUUGUCUUCCUUGUGCAUUUGGCACCCUCCACAUAUCCCAUUGUUCAUUUCCAAUAUACUUCUCUCUCUCUCUUUUCUCUUUUUCCCAUUCUUUCAAGUCAACUCCAGCUGUGUCCCUAAUAACUUCAUCCUCCUGGCCUGUGGUUUGUCACCCCUUCCAGUAUCUCUACUCUUUUCUGUGUGGCUGUUCCCACAUGGACCAGAAGACAGAAUAUUUGUCAACAGGUUGAUGAGCCUUGUGAAUCUUUCUGUUACCCCCCCCCCCACCAAAUACCCUAGGAACAUAAUUCUCUUGAUAGGCUGCCUGGAUGACUGAUUUCUGCUUCAGUCUCUCUCAGUAGGGAGUCUUCAAUCACUGCACUCCCUUGUUUCCUUCUCUUCAGAGCAGAGGUCUUUCUCUUUAUAGAUCUUGUAGAGCCUCUUCUCCAGGCCUGGAUUCCAGAAACAUUAUAAUCACUGAAGUCCUGGACUAUUCUAUAACAGCUAAGGUUCUUCUCAUGUUAUUUACAUGGAGACACAAUGCUCAUCUGUCUUUGAUAUUCUGUGCCAUAAUUCUUCUCUCCUUUGCUGAUACUUCUGAGUUUUUCUCAGUUUCCUGGCAUAAAAAAGGGCUGUAUCCUGAGUCCGCUACUGUUCACCUUGAUGAUCCAAGACCUCUGUGCCAAAUCUGCUACGAAUCAUAUUGUGAUGAUGAUGAUGAUGAUGAUGAUGAUGACACGGCAGUGGUGGAUCUUAUCCAGGAUGAGAAUGAAGAUGCUUAUAGGAAAGAUUGUAAUGUAUUUCCCUGAUUACUAAGAAUUUAUUUUUCUCCAUCUGUCACUUGCAUGGGCAGUGCUAUUGUAAAGUGCAAUGACAUGUAUUAUAACAUACUAUUUAUAGAAAGAUAUUUCAUUCAAUGCUAUUAUUUAAUAAAAUUGACAAACAGGAAGCCUGAUUUACUAGACACUAAAGUGUAUAGACCUAUUAAAUUAGCAGUAAAAGGAACCUGAUGUUAAAAGUAUAAAUUAUUAAGGUUAUCUGUCAAAGGGUAUAUCCUGACUUUGUGCCCAAAAUCUUGACAAAUAUUCCAUGAAGAAUUAAAUUCCUCGAGCUCAUUAUGCCAAAUAUGUGAAAUAGAAAACUGGAAACAUUUUCAGCACAAAAAUGUAAAUGUUCUUCCGCAGUUAUGAACACAUGGACUUUUAUUUUUCUAUGGGCACUGCACAAAAAGUACCAUAUAAUUAUUUCAAGUUAUUUUGAAAAAAAGCAGAUCUAUCUGGUCCACUGUAUCAGAGCUAGCAGGAGACCCCUGUGUGAAGUGAACACUGCUGCUGCCAUUAUCACUACUGAGAAAAUGAUGAUCGUGAUUAUAUUCCCAUGUGGUAUUUCUCUAAACAAUGUCAUAGUUACCUCAAGAAAUAUUUCAAAAUAUGGUAUGCUGACUUUAAGUAUUAGCCAAGUUAAUCCUCUGAAACACUUGUUGAGUGAAGGGUAUAUUUUAAAAUGGUCUAUUGAAACAUUUAAAAUUAGAAUCCUUCACCAAGGUAAGAGUUUUCUAGAUAAGUCUGAUAAAAUGCUAUCAAACUGAAAAGUGGAGGAUUUAAAGAAGAGGAAAGAAAGCAAUGACAAGUAUAUGCAUGGACCAGGCAAUUUAAUCUCUAUAGGCCUGAUAUCUCAUUUGUUGCACAUUAAUAAAAUGAGGUUCUAAGAAUUAGUUUCAUAUAUGCAUGUAUGUUUGUAUGUAUGUAUGUAUGCAUAUGUGUAUGUUUAUGUAUACAUAAAGAAACUAAAAUAAAAUGCCCUAUAACUAAAAUAUAUUAAGAUUUUAAGGUCAAAGAUUUUUCUGGAAAAGAUAUCAUUUGCAAAUUCAAACUAAAUACCAAAAAUGUGUAAGCAACUCCAGUAGAAUCUGAUCUACUACAUAUAAAUAGAAUUAAUAAUUUUUAGAUGUUUAAUGUUUAUAGUAGAGAAAAUGAAUGCAUAUGUGUCUAAUUUGCUAUGAUGAAAAUACCAGCACUUUGUUCUAGACAAAUGAUGUAAUUGCACUUGAGUUCUUAUACAUUGUGUUAAUAUUGAAAAUAAUCCCCUGGAGAGAGAGAUAAAUGGAGUGAUCUUGAUGGUGAGAUAUGUACAUCUGUUUAUAAAAUAUUAAUGACUAUUGUAAAGGAUAAAAAAAAAGUUGUGUGCAUCUAAUAUGGGGUGGAAAAUAGGGAUCCGCAUUCAUUGAUAAGGAUUUCUUUUCCAUAAACUGAAUGUCAUGUAUGUGAGACUGAAUUAUUAGACAAUUGCUAAUAUGAUACUUAUAUGAAUUUAAUCUUUUUUGUUUCUUUCUAUUCUUCCUAUUAUUAAUGGGAAACUAUUGAACAAUUAGCCAAUGGAACAGCUUGCUGAAGUUGUGGGUGGUUCAUUGUGGAGGUUUUUAAGAAAAGAUUGGAUAACCAUUGGUUUGGGAUGGAAUAAGGACUCCUGUCUGGGCAGCAGCUUGAACUACAACACCUUCAAAGACCCUUCCAGCUCUAUGAUUGGAUGAUUCCAUUAUAACAUUUCUAUAAUGAAACACUGAUUGUGGAAUUCCAACACUGCUAUUUUAUUAAUAAUAUUUUAUUAUUAACAAUGAAAUACUCAUGAAUAUUAAUACUCAUUAAUAUUUAUAUUAAAUUUAUCAGAAUUAAAACAAAUGUAUACCCUUAUUUCUUACAAUUGCUUUUUUCUAGUAUGCUUGCAUCUAUUACAAACAAUACAAAUGAACCAGCUGAACUGAAUGUUACAAGAGACUAAGGAUGCCUGAAUUUUAAUAGUAAAUUAGUGAUAGCAAAGAAGUAACGGGCAAACAUAUUACCAUUUCACUAAAUGGGAAGCUAAUUAUGAAAAGGCUGCCUGCUGAAUUAGCAUACUUAGGAAGUCCAUCAAGUAAACUGGUGUAUCAGUAUCUGGUGUAAUAAAUAAGAACAAAAUGUAUAGUUUAGAUGAAAGAGGAUAUAAAGAGGUGGAUAAAAAUAGUUUAAGGUUUUCAGGGAAGAAUUUAAUGUUGGUUAAUUAAUUGGUUCUGUCAGUGGGCCUGAGAACCCAACUGGUAUGAAUUUAUUUGCUGCUGCCAUGGAGUUAGAGUUUUAUGUUGUGAAUUUUUAAUGUUGCAAGCUGCCCAGAGUCACUGUGUGUGAAUUGGAUGAUCAUAUAAAUUUGUUUAAGAAAUAAAUAAUAAAAAUGAAGUGAAAAUGAAGUUUUUAUCAAGACUGAG